rnacentral:rRNA from 1 species
AUUGAACGCUGGCGGCAGGCCUAACACAUGCAAGUCGAGCGGGGUUUUCGGACCUAGCGGCGGACGGGUGAGUAAUGCGUAGGAAGCUGCCCGAUAGAGGGGGAUACCAGUUGGAAACGACUGUUAAUACCGCGUAAUGUCUACGGACCAAAGUGUGGAACCUUCGGGCCACAUGCUAUCGGAUGCGCCUACGUGGGAUUAGCUAGUUGGUGAGGUAAUGGCUCACCAAGGCGACGAUCUCUAGCUGGUUUGAGAGGAUGAGCAGCCACACUGGAACUGAGACACGGUCCAUACUCCUACGGGAGGCAGCAGGGGGGAAUAUUGGACAAUGGGCGCAAGCCUGAUCCAGCCAUGCCGCGUGUGUGAAGAAGGCCUUCGGGUUGUAAAGCACUUUCAGCGAGGAGGAAGGGUGGUGUGUUAAUAGCACAUCAUUUUGACGUUACUCGCAGAAGAAGCACCGGCUAACUCUGUGCCAGCAGCCGCGGUAAGAC